GGAGGAUGCGAGCGUUAUCCGGAUUUAUUGGGUUUAAAGGGAGCGUAGNCGGAUUUUUAAGUCAGNUGUGAAAGUUCNCGGCCCAACCGUGAAAUUGCAGUUGAAACUGAAANUCUUGAGUGCACGCNAGGNUGCUGGAAUUCGUGGUGUAGCGGUGAAAUGCUUAGAUAUCACGAAGAACUCCGAUNGCGAAGGCAUGUGUCCGGANUGCAACUGACGCUGANGCUCGAAAGUGUGGGUAUCAAACAGGAUUAGAUACCCUGGUAGUCCACACAGUAAACGAUGAAUACUCGCUGUUUGCGAUAUACAGUAAGCGGCCAAGCGAAAGCAUUAAGUAUUCCACCUGGGGAGU
rnacentral:rRNA from 1 species